CAGUAGCCGCGGGAAUACAGAGGAUGCAAGCGUUAUCCGGAAUGAUUGGGCGUAAAGCGUCUGUAGGUGGCUUUUCAAGUCCGCCGUCAAAUCCCAGGGCUCAACCCUGGACAGGCGGUGGAAACUACCAAGCUGGAGUACGGUAGGGGCAGAGGGAAUUUCCGGUGGAGCGGUGAAAUGCGCUGAGAUCGGAAAGAACACCAACGGCAAAAGCACUCUGCUGGGCCGACACUGACACUGAGAGACGAAAGCUAGGGGAGCAAAUGGGAUUAGAUACCCGUGUAGUCCCUGUCUCUUAUAC
rnacentral:rRNA from 1 species